rnacentral:rRNA from 1 species
UACGUAGGGUGCAAGCGUUGUCCGGAAUUAUUGGGCGUAAAGAGCUCGUAGGCGGUUUGUCGCGUCUGCUGUGAAAACCCGAGGCUCAACCUCGGGCCUGCAGUGGGUACGGGCAAACUAGAGUGCGGUAGGGGAGAAUGGAAUUCCUGGUGUAGCGGUGAAAUGCGCAGAUAUCAGGAGGAACACCGAUGGCGAAGGCAGUUCUCUGGGCCGUAACUGACGCUGAGGAGCGAAAGCGUGGGGAGCGAACAGG